GAUGAAGAACGUAGCGAAAUGCGAUACGUAAUGUGAAUUGCAGAAUUCAGUGAAUCAUCGAAUCUUCGAACGCACAUUGCGCCCGCCAGCACUCUGGCGGGCAUGCCUGUUCGAGCGUCAUUUCAACCAUCAAGCCCCAGGCUUGCGUUGGAGCCCUGCGGCUGCCGCAGCCUCCUAAAAGCAGUGGCGGGCUCGCUAUCACACCGAGUGCAGUAGAUUACUCUUCGCUCAGGGCGUGCAGCGGGUUCCGGCCGUGAAACCCCCUACUUUUAAAGGUUGACCUCGGAUCAGGUAGGAAUACCCGCUGAACUUAAGCAUAUCAAUAAGCGGAGGA
rnacentral:misc_RNA from 1 species